rnacentral:rRNA from 1 species
CCUACGGGGGGCAGCAGUGGGGAAUAUUGGGCAAUGGGCGCAAGCCUGACCCAGCAACGCCGCGUGAAGGAAGAAGGCUUUCGGGUUGUAAACUUCUUUUGUCAGGGACGAAGCAAGUGACGGUACCUGACGAAUAAGCCCCGGCUAACUACGUGCCAGCAGCCGCGGUAAUACGUAGGGAGCAAGCGUUACCCGGAUUUACUGGGUGUAAAGGGCGUGUAGGCGGGAUUGUAAGUCAGAUGUGAAAACCAGGGGCUCAACCUCUGGCCUGCAUUUGAAACUGCAGUUCUUGAGUACUGGAGAGGCAGACGGAAUUCCUAGUGUAGCGGAGAAAUGCGUAGAUAUUAGGAGGAACACCAGUGGCGAAGGCGGUCUGCUGGACAGCAACUGACGCUGAGGCGCGAAAGCGUGGGGAGCAAACAGGAUUAGAUACCCCAGUAGUC